UCUGGCUCCUCUGCGGGCCUUGACUCUGGCAGCUCCUGAGGCCUGGUGGGGACAGCAGGACUGUGUCCCCUUAUCCUCAUCCCAUUCUGAGCAUCAGCCCAACCAAGGCCAGUGGGCCAGUAGGCUGGGACACAGGCCCAGUUCUAAAGAGCUGGAGAGAGUGUGACCAAGGGACAGUGACCCAAUGGGUAAACUGAACAGGGUCAUAAGAUCACUGAGGGUCAGAACCCCUCCCAGAGUACACCACUCCCAGAGUACAGAUGGGGACCUGAGCCCAGAGACAGCAAAGGGCUUGCCCAAGGCCACCAGCCACAAUCCCAUCUCUGUGUUCUUGGAAACUGCUGCUUGAGAGGCCCGGGGAGGAUUCCACGGCGGCCUCCCUGACAGGCUGUGGGGCUAGAGGCUGAGGGAAGCAGGCUUGGCUGAUGCCCACUCAAUAAAUGCCAGUCUGGUCCCCAGAGAGAAGCCAAGCUGGGCCCAGAACUCCACAGGGGCUGGGGGCUGGGGGCGGAAGUGGAGCCCACCUUUCACGUGCAGACUCUGGGAGCUCGUGCCUGGGUGCUCUGCUGGGGGCUGCGCCUCUGGGAAGAGGGCAGGUGGUCAGGACUCAGAAGCACCUCGGCUGCUUGCCUUCCUUCUAGGUUGGCUUGAUUGUCUAGUUGCUCAUGUCCCAGUCCUGGGGUGUGGGCAGGCCUGGCCACACUUAUCUGAGGGCACCUGACCCUCACCCCGAGCAGCUGAUGCUGCAGCUUCCAGUGCCAGCUGCCCCCAAAGCCCUGCUCCUGCCCCCAGGGAUCCAGUUCAACCUGGAGUACAGGCUCUUGUGCAUUUGUGGACAGAUGGGCAGCUCAGCCCAAGAGGCCCCACUCCUGGACCUGAGCCCCCAGAGCCUGCAUCUUGCUCCUGUUGCUAGCCAGGGAGAGGCACUGAAGGAGCAGACUGCAUCCCCAUCUGAGAGGACCCCCACCUCAUCCUCUGUGCCUGCAGACACCCUCACACAGGCUUGUGGGUUUGGGCAGG
rnacentral:lncRNA from 1 species